rnacentral:rRNA from 1 species
ACGGAAGGCAGCAGUGGGGAAUAUUGGGCAAUGGGGGAAACCCUGACCCAGCAACGCCGCGUGAAGGAAGAAGGCCUUCGGGUUGUAAACUUCUUUUACCAGGGACGAUAAUGACGGUACCUGGAGAAAAAGCAACGGCUAACUACGUGCCAGCAGCCGCGGUAAUACGUAGGUUGCAAGCGUUGUCCGGAUUUACUGGGUGUAAAGGGCGUGUAGGCGGAGCUGCAAGUCAGAUGUGAAAUCCCGGGGCUCAACCCCGGAACUGCAUUUGAAACUGUAGCCCUUGAGUAUCGGAGAGGCAAGCGGAAUUCCUAGUGUAGCGGUGAAAUGCGUAGAUAUUAGGGGGAACACCAGUGACGAAGGCGGCUUGCUGGACGACAACUGACGCUGAGGCGCGAAAGCGUGGGGAGCAAACAGGAUUAGAUACCCUGGUA